rnacentral:rRNA from 1 species
UCCGUAGGCGGUGCGGCAAGUCGGAAGUGAAAUCUCAGGGCUCAACCCUGAGGCUGCUUCCGAAACUGCCGUGCUCGAGUGCGAGAGAGGCGAGUGGAAUUGCAGGUGUAGCGGUGAAAUGCGUAGAUAUCUGCAGGAACAUCCGAGGCGAAAGCGGCUCGCUGGAUCGCAACUGACGCUGAGGGACGAAAGCUAGGGGAGCAAACAGGAUUAGAUACCCUGGUAGUCCUAGCCCUAAACGAUCAGGACUGGGCGUGGGCCUCGUACGGGGCUCGUGCCGCAGCUAACGCGUUAAGUCCUGCGCCUGGGGAGUACGGUCGCAAGGCUGAA